rnacentral:rRNA from 1 species
AUUGAACGCUGGCGGCAGGCUUAACACAUGCAAGUCGAGCGAGCGGCGGACGGGUGAGUAAUGUAUGGGAAACUGCCUGAUGGCGGGGGAUAACUACUGGAAAAGGUAGCUAAUACCGCAUACCAUCAGAUGUGCCCAGAUUGGAUUAGCUAGUAGGUGGGGUAAGGGCUCACCAAGGCGACGAUCCCUAGCUGGUCUGAGAGGAUGACCAUCCAGACUGGAACUGAGACACGGUCCAGAGUCUUACGGGAGGCAGCAGUGGGGAAUAUUGCACAAUGGGAGCAAGCCUGAUGCAGCCAUGCCGCGUGUAUGAAGAAGGCCUUCGGGUUGUAAAGUACUUUCAGCGAGGAGGCGUUACUCGCAGAAGAAGCACCGGCUAACUCCGUGCCAGCAGCCGCGGUAAUUC